CGACGAUCAGUAGCCGACCUGAGAGGGUGACCGGCCACAUUGGGACUGAGACACGGCCCAAACUCCUACGGGAGGCAGCAGUGGGGAAUAUUGCACAAUGGGGGAAACCCUGAUGCAGCGACGCCGCGUGAGCGAAGAAGUAUUUCGGUAUGUAAAGCUCUAUCAGCAGGGAAGAAGAAAUGACGGUACCUGACUAAGAAGCACCGGCUAAAUACGUGCCAGCAGCCGCGGUAAUACGUAUGGUGCAAGCGUUAUCCGGAUUUACUGGGUGUAAAGGGAGCGCAGGCGGAAGGCUAAGUCUGAUGUGAAAGCCCGGGGCUCAACCCCGGUACUGCAUUGGAAACUGGUCAUCUAGAGUGUCGGAGGGGUAAGUGGAAUUCCUAGUGUAGUGGUGAAAUGCGUAGAUAUUAGGAGGAACACCAGUGGCG
rnacentral:rRNA from 1 species